rnacentral:rRNA from 1 species
GAUGAACGCUGGCGGCGUGCCUAAUACAUGCAAGUCGAGCGAAUGGAUUAAGAGCUUGCUCUUAUGAAGUUAGCGGCGGACGGGUGAGUAACACGUGGGUAACCUGCCCAUAAGACUGGGAUAACUCCGGGAAACCGGGGCUAAUACCGGAUAACAUUUUGAACCGCAUGGUUCGAAAUUGAAAGGCGGCUUGGGCUGUCACUUAUGGAUGGACCCUCGUCGCAUUAUCUAGUUGGUGAGGUAACGGCUCACCAAGGCAACGAUGCGUAGCCGACCUGAGAGGGUGAUCGGCCACACUGGGACUGAGACACGGCCCAGACUCCUACGGGAGGCAGCAGUAGGGAAUCUUCCGCAAUGGACGAAAGUCUGACGGAGCAACGCCGCGUGAGUGAUGAAGGCUUUCGGGUCGUAAAACUCUGUUGUUAGGGAAGAACAAGUGCUAGUUGAAUAAGCUGGCACCUUGACGGUACCUAACCAGAAAGCCACGGCUAACUACGUGCCAGCCGCCGCGGUAA